rnacentral:rRNA from 1 species
UACGGAGGGAGCUAGCGUUGUUCGGAAUUACUGGGCGUAAAGCGCACGUAGGCGGCUCAGCAAGUCAGGGGUGAAAUCCCGGGGCUCAACCCCGGAACUGCCCUUGAAACUGCUAAGCUAGAAUCCUGGAGAGGCGAGUGGAAUUCCGAGUGUAGAGGUGAAAUUCGUAGAUAUUCGCAAGAACACCAGUGGCGAAGGCGGCUAACUGGCCCGGUACUGACGCUGAGAUACGAAAGCGUGGGGAGCAAACAGG